GGUAGGGUACCACCUGGCCAAGCUGGGAAACCGGGAAGGUGGUCCCUUGGGCAGGAUGGGGGUUGAGAAUCACCCGGCAUUUAAAGGCCACAUGUGAUGACCAGGUCAGGCAGUGUCUUGGAGACCGUGCCCUGGGUCAUACUGAGGGGCGGACUCUAAGUAGAUGUCGGCGCUUCUGGAACACUGGGCAGCCAGAGGGAGCCUUUACAAGUGCAGGUCCUCUCUUGGCUCUGUCAGUGAAAUCCAAAAUUCCAUCAGGACCCUGCCUGCCUCUCGAGCCCUAGGCUGGGAAUCGUAUUAGUUCCCUAGGGCUAUGUAACAAAGUACCAGAAACUGAGUGGCUUCACACGACAGAAAUUUAUUGGCUAAAAAAGUCCCAAAUCAAGGUUAGGUGGUAGGACGGUUGGUUCUUCCUGGAGGCUCUGAGGGAGACUGUUCCACGCCUCAGUCCUCCCUUCACUGCGAGCAACCCCACGUGUCCCCAGGCCUGUGGACACAUCACUCCUGCGUCUGUCCUCACCCGGCGUUCUCAUGUGUCUCUAGUUCUGUGUCUCUUUGUAUAAGGACAAUCGUCAUGUUAGAUAAAGGACUCACCCGGAUCCUGUACGACUUCAUCCUACUUAACUAUCUGCAAGGACCCUACUGCCAAGGAGUGCCACAUCCCAGGGUGUUCUGGAGAUGUCACUGCCUCGGGGAAGCUCUCUCCAGCUGCACAGACGAGGGUCGCCCUGUUCUUUUUUUCGGGCUCCCGGCACUCAUCACGAGGACAUCUGAGGAAGUGCAUGAGUCACAGCGUGUCGCUCUCCCAUGGGCCUGCUCCUCCGGAAAGUCGCCCCCGUGACAGCAGGAGCCAGGCCGCCUGGGUGAACACGAACAAACCGAAACGCGUGGCCAUAGGCGCUUACAGACUGAGCUGGGGAGUCUGUCUCAAUCGGACAGACCCUGUGUUGGGCCCACUGAAGAGCCCAUCAGGAAGGUCUCCAAAGCAGUGGCCCCUGGACCCAAAGGGAAACAGACCUGCAGUCAGUGCAGGCUCCACUCCUACCCCGUCAAAACUUACAAGACUUCUGUAGGCUGCCCCUACCCCAUCUCAGUGCCCUCUGCUCGUAUCUCUGUCUUGUCCCUUUAUACUGUUUACAUUCCUCCAUCCAUCCUGCCAAGCCAGCUCCCUCUUAGGGCCUUGGUGGUCUCUACCCACAGCCCAGAGUGCUCUGCAUCCAAAUUUCUACACUCUGGCUUCUUACCAUUCAGACUUCAGCUCCAAUCAUCACUUCCUGAUGACC
ensembl:lncRNA